GAGAGAGAAGGACCUGGUAGCUCAGGAGCUCAGGGUACCAGGAGCAGAGCAAUGCUGGGGAAAGGCAAGAGGCGCUGGGGAGCUCCAGCCUGGUAAACCCCCAGGCUGCAGGCCUUGUUAAAGGCCAAAGCAGUGCUAUGAGACAUAUGAGCAAUGCUCCAUCAUUGGUAUUGUCCAGUUAUCCAGUGAGUCAUACAAUGAGGACCUGGCCAUGCAUUUCUCAUCUCCAGGCUGCAUUGUAUUUGAAGGUGAACGUGAAGAUGAUGCACAGGCUCCAGCUGAUACAGAAAGUGGCUGUUCACCUUCUGCAUGACUCAAGCCCUCAUGAGCACAUCAGGCCUCUGCUUAAGUCCUUCCACUGGUUUCCAGUCAGUAUGUGAUGGCCAUGUAAAGCCUUGGUCCUAAUUUCGAAAGCAAUCAAUAUCUUCCAGAGGAGAUCAGGUGAGCUGAGUCUGACCAUCUUUGGGAAACGUUGCAAAGCCUUGCUUUUUGAGGGGAAGUGACGCCACCACAAGCGACACUCACAUUUUGAACAUGCUUUUUAUUCCACUAUCCUCCGCGCUUUUUUAAAACAAAGUUACUCCAAGCAGAGUUCUGACCCCAUACAAUGAGAAGUGGCAGACUGCAUGAAGUCCACUAGGGACUUUGCUACAAGGAAGAUGUUCAGACACUCCAAUAAUGGACAGCAAUAUAAAACUCUUACAUAAAAAGUCAUGUGGAGAGUGAAAUCACAGUUGAACUGAUUACUUUGCAUAACACAAGGAACUGAACAAAGGUCUGUUCCAGAUUUUGCC